rnacentral:rRNA from 1 species
UACAGAGGUCCCAAGCUUUGUUCGGAUUCACUGGGCGUAAAGGGUGCGUAGGCGGUCGGGUAAGUCUGAUGUGAAAUCUCGGAGCUCAACUCCGAAACUGCAUUGGAUACUAUUCGGCUUGAGGUCUGGAGGGGGGACUGGAAUUCUCGGUGUAGCAGUGAAAUGCGUAGAUAUCGGAAGGAACACCAGUGGCGAAAGCGGCUUCCUGGUCCGACACCGACGUUCAGGCACGAAAGCGUGGGGAGCAAACAGG